UAUAUAUUAUUAAAGAGAGCAUUGUAUUGUUUGGUUAGGUACAAAUGCAUCAACUUUUGAAUGUAUAUGAGUGUACAUAUAUGUGCAAAAGACAUAUAUACCCUCCUCACUUGCAAGGACACCUACCCUAAGUGACAAAUCACUAAAAUAUCUUUAUUUCAAAUGACUCAUUCGUGUUGAAUGUUGAUGAUAAGAUGGUGAUUUUUGUGGUUCAUGUUAUUUUAUGUCUUAUCAUUUUGGUUUUUAAUCUUGAUUAGGGUUUUGUAGUUUCUAUUUUAUUUGAGAAAAUUCACAUGAACUUAACCACUAUCUAAAUGAUUCAUAAACACUUUUAUAAGCGACAAACAUAAAAAUCUUGCAAUUUGUAUUCAAUAUUCUCACCUAAAAGAGUUAAAGACAUACAAUUGGUUGGUAACGACUAUCAUCGAGCAAUAGCAUGAAAGUUAGUUUUUACAGGGUAAAAUCCAUAAGACAAGAAGAGUAUUGGGGCAAAACCGAAAAAAAAAAGUGUAAAGAGAGCAAAUCCCAAGGAUCAAGAAAAGAAAAAGAGAAGAAAAAUACUUUAUUGGGCUUGCUAAGACAUGAAGCAGAAUGAAACAUCUGCUUUCGUCCGAAAAAAGAGGGAAGUCAGAUUCCAAAAACUGCACAUACAUUGUUUACAUACACACACAUUCAUGUAUAUUACUGUGUUUAUAAUAAUUUCCUGAUUUUAAAAUAUUAUUAUUGAUCUCUUUUUUCCUC